AUUGAACGCUGGCGGCAGGCCUAACACAUGCAAGUCGAGCGAGCGGCGGACGGGUGAGUAAUGUCUGGGAAACUGCCUGAUGGAGGGGGAUAACUACUGGAAACGGUAGCUAAUACCGCAUACUAUCAGAUGUGCCCAGGGGGGAUUAGCUAGUAGGUGGGGUAACGGCUCAACUAGGCGACGAUCCCUAGCUGGUCUGAGAGGAUGACAAGCCACACUGGAACUGAGACACGGGCCAGACUCCCACGUGAGGCAGCAGUGGGGAAUAUUGCACAAUGGGCGCAAGCCUGAUGCAGCCAUGCCGCGUGUGUGAAGAAGGCCUUCGGGUUGUAAAGCACUUUCAGCGGGGAGGCGUUACCCGCAGAAGAAGCACCGGCUAACUCCGUGCCAGCAGCCGCGGUAAGUC
rnacentral:rRNA from 1 species